rnacentral:rRNA from 1 species
UGGGGAAUUUUGCGCAAUGGGGGAAACCCUGACGCAGCAACGCCGCGUGGGUGAUGAAGGCCUUCGGGUCGUAAAGCCCUGUCGGGAGGGAAGAAAUGAUUGUGAGCUAAUACCUCGUGAUCUUGACGGUACCUCCGAAGGAAGCACCGGCUAACUCCGUGCCAGCAGCCGCGGUAAUACGGAGGGUGCAAGCGUUGUUCGGAAUUAUUGGGCGUAAAGCGCGUGUAGGCGGUCUUUUAAGUCUGAUGUGAAAGCCCCGGGCUCAACCUGGGAAGUGCAUUGGAAACUGGAAGACUUGAGUACGGGAGAGGAGAGUGGAAUUCCUAGUGUAGGAGUGAAAUCCGUAGAUAUUAGGAGGAACACCGGUGGCGAAGGCGGCUCUCUGGACCGAUACUGACGCUGAGACGCGAAAGCGUGGGUAGCAAACAGGAUUAGAUACCCUGGUAGUCCACGCCGUAAACGAUGAGUACUAGGUGUUGCGGGUAUUGACCCCUGCAGUGCCGCAGCUAACGCAUUAAGUACUCCGCCUGGGAAGUACGGUCGCAAGACUA